AUUGAACGCUGGCGGCAGGCCUAACACAUGCAAGUCGAACGAGUGGCGGACGGGUGAGUAAUGUCUGGGAAACUGCCCGAUGGAGGGGGAUAACUACUGGAAACGGUAGCUAAUACCGCAUACCAUCGGAUGUGCCCAGAUGGGAUUAGCUAGUAGGUGGGGUAACGGCUCACCUAGGCGACGAUCCCUAGCUGGUCUGAGAGGAUGACCCGCCACACGGGAACCUGGACACGGGCCAGACUCCUACGGGAGGCAGCAGGGGGGAAUAUUGCAAAAUGGGCGCAAGCCUGAUGGAGCCAUGCCGGGGGUAGGAAGAAGGCCUUCGGGUUGUAAAGGACUUUCAGCGAGGAGGCGUUACUCGCAGAAGAAGCACCGGCUAACUCCGUGCCAGCAGCCGCGGUAAUUC
rnacentral:rRNA from 1 species